rnacentral:rRNA from 1 species
AACGAACGCUGGCGGCAUGCCUAACACAUGCAAGUCGAACGAGACCUUCGGGUCUAGUGGCGCACGGGUGCGUAACGCGUGGGAACCUGCCCUUAGGUUCGGAAUAACUCCCCGAAAGGGGUGCUAAUACCGGAUAAUGUCUUCGGACCAAAGAUUUAUCGCCUUUGGAUGGGCCCGCGUUGGAUUAGCUAGUUGGUAGGGUAAAAGCCUACCAAGGCGACGAUCCAUAGCUGGUCUGAGAGGAUGAUCAGCCACACUGGGACUGAGACACGGCCCAGACUCCUACGGGAGGCAGCAGUGGGGAAUAUUGGACAGUGGGCGAAAGCCUGAUCCAGCAAUGCCGGGUGAGUGAUGAAGGCCUUAGGGUUGUAAAGCUCUUUUACCCGGGAUGAUAAUGACAGUACCGGGAGAAUAAGCUCCGGCUAACUCCGUG